AUAAUGCCUGUGCGUUGAGGUGCCGGAUAGCUUGGCUGUCCGGUUAAACGGGAAACAGGUGAAAUACCUGUGCUGCCCCCGCAACGGUAAGCAAGGGUGGGCGUAUCAAUAUGCCACUGUGAGCAAUCAUGGGAAGGCGAUGCGUUUUGUCUUGCGAGCCCGUAUAUCGGCCUUGAUGCAGGAGUCUCC
rnacentral:ncRNA from 2 species